AAAUUCCACUGUCGGAUAAGUGUUUCUUGAUUGGGCACUUACUUAGAAUAGUCCCUUCUCAAGAAACUGACCAAAUGCUUCACUGAGGCUACUUAAAAUCAAAACACAUUGAUACACAAGUACAUAGCCGA